rnacentral:ncRNA from 1 species
UUUAUGGAGAGUUUGAUCCUGGCUCAGGAUAAACGCUGGCGGCAUGCCUAAUACAUGCAAGUCGAACGCUCUCGAUCUUCGGAUCAAUGAGAGAGUGGCGAACGGGUGAGUAACACGUAAGAAAUCUGCCCUAAAGACGAGGAUAACUAUUGGAAACGAUAGCUAAUACUGGAUAGUACAUAAGACCGCAUGGUCUAAUGUUUAAAGGUGCGUUUGCACCACUUUAGGAUGAUCUUGCGCUGCAUUAGCUAGUUGGUAGGGUAACGGCCUACCAAGGCGACGAUGCAUAGCUGGACUGAGAGGUUGAACAGCCACACUGGGACUGAGACACGGCCCAGACUCCUACGGGAGGCAGCAGUAGGGAAUUUUCGGCAAUGGGCG